UGCAAACCAACGACGUAUAGGAGGUCUUGCCUGCCCAGUGACAAUGUUAAACGGCCGCGGUAUUUUGACCGUGCGAAGGUAGCGCAAUCACUUGUCUUUUAAAUGAAGACCUGUAUGAAUGGUGAAACGAGGGCUUAACUGUCUCCCUUUUCUAGUCAAUGAAAUUGAUCUGCCCGUGCAGAAGCGGACAUAAAAAUACAAGACGAGAAGACCCUUUGGAGCUUAAGAUAUAAGGAUCACCUAUGUCAAUGAGCCUCUACACGGCAACAAACUAAAUAGUAACUGAUCUUAAUCUUCGGUUGGGGCGACCACGGGAGAAAACAAAGCUCCCAUGUGGAAUGGGGUAUAACCCUAAAACCAAGAAAAACAUUUCUAAGAAACAGAACUUCUGACCAAUAAGAUCCGGCUAUAUGCCGAUCAACGGACCAAGUUACCCUAGGGAUAACAGCGCAAUCCCCUUUCAGAGUCCAUAUCGACAAGGGGGUUUACGACCUCGAUGUUGGAUCAGGACAUCCUAAUGGUGCAGCCGCUAUUAAGGGUUCG
rnacentral:rRNA from 1 species